rnacentral:misc_RNA from 1 species
AUUCCUCUCUUCUUUUAGCAUUUCGGAAGAGCUUUAAAGGCUCCAUUCUUCUACCGAGUCAAAGCAAAGUGUGGACCCCAAUGUCACAAAGAUCGAAGAACUUGAAGAAAUAGAUUAGGAAUUCCUUCAUUUUAUUAAGUUGUAUUUAUUUUGGGCAUAAGCCCUUGUCAUUUUUACUUUCCUUGUAUUUAUUCUUGUAUGUCUAGACUAGGACAGGUACAAAAGAAAGAAAUGGGUCGAAAACCCAA